GUUGCAACCUUUUCAUGACGUCGAUACAGUUGUUUUGGUCCCCCCUACCCAAUCGGAGGCUCCGCUCACAUUCUACCGGAGCCGAAAUGGGUCUAUUCAUGCAGCGGCUCUGUCCUCCCGUAAGUACCAUAACGCCCUUCGUCGGGUGCUCUAUGGUACCCGACUGCUGCUUUAAACGGCAGCACUGAGAUGGAAACCCCAUUGCAGCUGCAGAACGAUUUCUUUCCAGAGCAGCAAUUCCAGCACUGUAAGUACCAGCACUACUGCGGGCGGGAGGAUCGGAUCGGCAAGCAGCACGACCAAUGCUGCACCUGCAAUAACUGCACCUGUGAUGCGAGAAAAAGCCUCGUCUUUCGCGGGACGUCGCCGACCACUGUGGGAACUUUAAGGACACCUUCGGAAACGUCUUCGAGACAAGGUUGUCAGUACAGCGUCUGCGAGUUUACACCCUCUAGUCAUGGUAGUUCAUCCAGGCAUCAUCAUCCUCACAAUCAGCAGCAGCAGCAUUGUCGCGAUCGGCAGCGGGGCAGCCUGGGCAGCAGCCACAAAGACAGUAACUCCUACAAUGAAAUAGCCAUGAGCAGCUGCAGAUACAACGGCGGCGUAAUGCGGCCGCUGAGCAACUUGAGCUCGUCCCGCAGAAACAUACACGAGUUUGAUUCCGAGUCCCAGCCUUUGCAGCCCAUCUCAGCCGCAGAUGCGUCUGACACUUUAGUAUCCAAGGCGGAGAAUAAUUCCACCACACUGAUGCCUUACGCAUCGGGAGACGGAGGGGGAGGCUGCGGCCACAGCGGCGGUAAAUUGGGGAAAAAGAAGAACCAGAACAUUGGGGAAAAGCUCGGGCACAGGAGGGCCUUGUUUGAGAAAAGGAAGCGGCUCAGCGACUAUGCUUUAAUCUUUGGGAUGUUUGGGAUCGUUGUUAUGGUUAUAGAGACUGAACUCUCAUGGGGAGCCUAUGGAAAGGAGUCCCUGUAUUCAUUAGCUCUAAAAUGCCUGAUAAGCCUUUCUACAAUCAUUCUCCUGGGACUGAUUAUCAUAUACCAUGCAAGAGAGAUACAGUUAUUUAUGGUGGACAACGCAGCUGAUGACUGGAGGAUAGCCAUGACAUAUGAGCGCAUCUUCUUCAUCUGCCUGGAAAUCCUGGUGUGCGCCAUCCACCCCAUCCCAGGAAAUUACACCUUCACCUGGACAGCACGCCUGGCCUACUCGUAUGUGCCAUCCAAGACGGAUGCGGACGUGGACAUAAUUCUGUCCAUCCCCAUGUUCCUGCGGCUGUACCUCAUCGCUCGUGUCAUGCUGCUGCACAGCAAACUUUUCACGGACGCCUCGUCCCGCAGCAUCGGUGCACUCAACAAGAUUAACUUUAACACACGCUUUGUGAUGAAGACCCUCAUGACCAUCUGUCCCGGCACUGUGCUGCUGGUCUUCACCAUCUCACUGUGGAUCAUCGCCGCAUGGACUGUGAGAGCUUGCGAGAGGUACCAUGACAACCAGGACACAACCAGCAACUUUCUAGGAGCCAUGUGGUUGAUCUCAAUCACAUUUCUUACCAUUGGAUAUGGGGAUAUGGUCCCAAACACAUACUGUGGGAAAGGAGUCUGCCUCCUGACUGGCAUUAUGGGCGCUGGCUGCACUGCCUUGGUGGUGGCUGUGGUGGCAAAGAAACUGGAGUUAACCAAAGCUGAAAAACAUGUCCACAAUUUUAUGAUGGACACCCAGCUAACAAAAAGAGUGAAAAACACAGCUGCGAAUGUUCUCAGGGAGACGUGGCUCAUCUAUAAGAACACCAAACUGGUGAGGAAGAUGGACCACGCCAGAGUCAGGAAACACCAGAGGAAAUUUCUCCAAGCCAUUCACCAAGCUCGAAAGUAAGUCUUCGCCUCACCUGUAGAUACAGACCUGUUGUGUGCAUGCUAACGAGAGCUUGUCCUUGAACCCAAUAAUGUGACUAAAAAAUUACACUCCCUCAUUUGAUAAGUGAAAUUCAUGCCACAAAAAAUGUCGUAGCUUGCAACAAUUGAAUCGUUUCACAUGACACAAUCAUAAUGUUUUUGUGAGAUGUCUGUUCAACUGAGUAACAUGUCAAUUUGAUAAAAUACACAUUAUUCUCUUAUUUUUCAUUCAAUCUUCAACAUUUUGCAAACAAACAGCUUCAAAUAAUCAGCACAAACACCUUUUUUGUUUCAUCAUUGAGUAGAACCAUGUUGCACUUUGUAAACACACCUACAGAUGCAUAUUAAGUGAAUUUCAAUUAUCGGUGAUGGAGGGUGUUUUUCUUUCCAUUUCUGCAUGGAUGUGAUGAGAAUUUAAUCUUUAAUCAGAAAGCCACUGAUUAAACUCCAAUCAACUGUGCUUUCACGUACCGAAGGAUGACGACUAGAGCUCUACAGGAGACAGACCUGCAGUAGCACAAGUAUAUAACUCACAGUAUCCCACAAGUCAUGUUAAUUUAGCAGUCAUGCUCAUACAGACCAGGGCUCAGGGUCAUCUUUCGGCGUGUGGAACCAUUGUUACGCCUGUUGCUACAUUUGCAGCCCCAUUUCCUCCAUUUCUUCUGUUGGAUGACACAGUAGCAAACACGCUGAUCAGGUGUUAUCAUGGCUGGUAAACAGCAUAAUAACACACACAUGCAGCUGUCAUGCAUUUCUACACUGAGAAGAAUUAGCAGAGUUAGCCGUGAACACAGUUUAAACACUCCUAAGGUUAUUUGGAUGGUGCGGUUUAUCACACCACAGGCACGAUGUUGCAUGCGUGCAACCAAAUGUCUUCCAGUAUGUUUUAGGCCAUUAAGUCAAGUGUAUCAGUGCUGUCAGACCAUCCCCUUUGGGAACGCUGUCCCUUUCCAUCUACAAGGUUGAAGUGGGACUCAUAGCAAGAGGCAGGGCAGUGAGUGGUUGUUAGCUCAGCGAUCAGUGGAUUGGAGAAACAGGAAAGUGACCUGAGAGGAAGGUCAUGGGUAAAGCCUCCGAGCAAUCCCCUUUGAGCCCGAGAGGCUGUGACUGUGACCGACAGCAUGAAGCUGUCAGAAGGGACAGGAAAAACACAACUGCAGAAUGGUCACUCUGUCCAUUACACUGAAGAGAAAUUAGCAUUUCUUUCCACAAUGAGGUAAAGGGAGGUCAUGACAAAGAAAGCAAGUCAAGAUUGUAAAAAAUAUGGCGCAGCACUAACUGAGAUUGCUUUAACUGAUUUAUUGGGUAUUGAAAAGCUUAGCGUUGCCGUUUCCCCCUGAUGAAUAGCAAGCAGAGUGCCCAUUGAAAAGGAGAAAUACCCAUGACAGGUGAUUGACCGAGGGAACAGAAUAUAAAAGACACGACAAGUGGGCUUCCUCGUCCUGACCUCGGGCUGCCCUGUGCUUUACCCCAUCUGCCAGCUAUUGGUCAUCCAACGGUAAAAUUUGUACAGGUCUUACAUCAACUAAAAAUCAUUUAAUAUUGAAUAUCUAUCUAUAUCUUCCAUCAUUGUAGCUACCUUUGUUUUUAUUUUAUUUAAAUGCAUUAUUAAUAGAAGUGAAAUAGUGUUCUGUCCUUGUUUUUAGAGUCUGCUCUGUAUGAAGCAUUUAGGUCCUCAGUUGUCAGGAAACCUUCCCUUGCCUGUAGUUUGCUUUAGUGACUCCUGUGGCACCCUCUGUUGGUCUAACCUUCACUCCACAUCUGCCUGUCAAACCAGAAACAGAGAAAUGAUCCCGCAUUGCAUGAGAACAGGUGCAUCUCAGCUAAUUAGCAGACGCCUCCCCCCUCCUCCUCCCCUCCCCUCCCCACCGGGGCCUCUUAAAUCCCUUCUCAAUCUAAAUUCCUGUUUGCCUUCAGUUCACACACAACCUUAUAACCACCUCAAACUGAAUUCAUGUCUCAGUUAGUUAUAGGUUGUUGUUGUUGUUAUUAUUUUGAAAAAAUCUGAAACGUUGGCAAACUUGGCAUCAUGAUGCUAUUCUGUGUACUGUGUCCUGUUUAAUUCAGCAUGCGUAGGUGAUUCUGGGGGGGAAAACUUUUUAAUAUUUUGA